GACGAACGCUGGCGGCGUGUUUAACACAUGCAAGUCGAGCGGAAAGGCCCUGCUUUUGUGGGGUGCUCGAGUGGCGAACGGGUGAGUAACACGUGAGUAACCUGCCCUUGACUUUGGGAUAACUUCAGGAAACUGGGGCUAAUACCGGAUAGGAGCUCCUGCUGCAUGGUGGGGGUUGGAAAGUUUCGGCGGUUGGGGAUGGACUCGCGGCUUAUCAGCUUGUUGGUGGGGUAGUGGCUUACCAAGGCUUUGACGGGUAGCCGGCCUGAGAGGGUGAACGGCCACAUUGGGACUGAGAUACGGCCCAGACUCCUACGGGAGGCAGCAGUGGGGAAUAUUGCACAAUGGGCGGAAGCCUGAUGCAGCAACGCCGCGUGCGGGAUGACGGCCUUCGGGUUGUAAACCGCUUUCGCCUGUGACGAAGCGUGAGUGACGGUAAUGGGUAAAGAAGCACCGGCUAACUACGUG
rnacentral:rRNA from 1 species